rnacentral:rRNA from 1 species
GACGAACGCUGGCGGCGUGCUUAACACAUGCAAGUCGAACGGAAAGGCCCUGCUUUUGUGGGGUGCUCGAGUGGCGAACGGGUGAGUAACACGUGAGUAACCUGCCCUUGACUUUGGGAUAACUUCAGGAAACUGGGGCUAAUACCGGAUAGGAGCUCCUGCUGCAUGGUGGGGGUUGGAAAGUUUCGGCGGGUGGGGAUGGACUCGCGGCUUAUCAGCUUGUUGGUGGGGUAGUGGCUUACCAAGGCUUUGACGGGUAGCCGGCCUGAGAGGGUGACCGGCCACAUUGGGACUGAGGUACGGCCCAGACUCCUACGGGAGGCAGCAGUGGGGAAUAUUGCACAGUGGGCAGAAGCCUGAUGCAGCAACGCCGCGUGCGGGAUGACGGCCUUCGGGUUGUAAACCGCUUUCGCCUGUGACGAAGCGUGAGUGACGGUAAUGGGUAAAGAAGCACCGGCUAACUACGUG